UGGGGAAUAUUGGACAAUGGGGCAACCCUGAUCCAGCCAUGCCGCGUGAGUGAUGAAGGCCUUCGGGUUGUAAAGCUCUUUUGGCGGGGACGAUGAUGACGGUACCCGCAGAAUAAGCCCCGGCUAACUUCGUGCCAGCAGCCGCGGUAAGACGAAGGGGGCUAGCGUUGUUCGGAAUUACUGGGCGUAAAGCGAGUGUAGGCGGUUGCCGUAGUCAGGUGUGAAAGCCUUGAGCUCAACUCAAGAAAUGCACUUGAUACUGGGUGACUAGAGGACCGGAGAGGAUAGUGGAAUUCCCAGUGUAGUGGUGAAAUACGUAGAGAUUGGGAAGAACACCAGUGGCGAAGGCGGCUAUCUGGACGGUUACUGACGCUAAGACUCGAAAGCGUGGGGAGCAAACAGGAUUAGAUACCCUGGUAGUCCACGCCGUAAACGAUGGGUGCUAGACGUUGGCGAGCUUGCUCGUCAGUGUCGCAGCUAACGCGUUAAGCACCCCGCCUGGGGAGUACGGCCGCAAGGGUUGAAAACUUAAAGGAAUUGACGGGGGUCAUAGCUGUUU
rnacentral:rRNA from 1 species